rnacentral:misc_RNA from 1 species
CGCGCGCGCUCGUCCGCUUCCGGCGAUCCGGCCGCGCGAUAUUCCGGUGUCGACAGUGCGUAAAUUCGUGUACGGCCAACCGAAUCCGUCCGUCCAUCCGCCGAUUUGUUCGUUGCGUGCCGGUGACGAGAGAAAAACCAGUGCGAUAGGACGUUCUGGUGCGCCGUCGACACACAGACCCGACGGACGGACGGGAUGGUCGCUCGAACCAAAGCGAAUAGAACCCAGCCAAAGGCGAACAGCGCAGCGGUGUGUUCGAGCGGGCUUUGUCCGAAGCAAACCCGCCGGAUGAUGUAACAUAAGUAAAUAUGGACUGUAAAUAAUGUACUAGAUAAAGCUAGUAAGUUAAGUGAGAGAAAGAGAGAGAGAGAGAGCGCGCAUCGUCGUCGUUUUCUUCGUCGUUGCCUCGGCCGUCGCCGUCGCCGUCGCCUACGUCGCCGAACCGAACGGACGGAUCUCGGAGUCUCGGAGUCGGAGAGGAGCCACGAACAAGGACAAAUAAUACGGGAAUCUGGAGGGUACGGCGCGGCGCGACGAAGCGAACGACCAAAAAGACAAACAAAUUCGCAAUGAGGGACAAGACACGCGUUAAACGGGGAACUCGCGCGUGUCGGAAAAAUGUGUGCCGAAUCCUAGCGACAGCGGAAAUCCCUCGCGAUGAAAAACCCCUUCUGUAUAAAGAUUUCCUACCCUCGGAUCGUCCCGCGGGUCCCACCUUGGAUCCAACCGGCUGUGCACUCGGACCCGCUUUCGACGUCCUCCUCGUCCUUGGGAUCCGAUUUCCGACGCUGUUCGGGCCACUUUGGACGUCCGGGAUCAGCGCCGUCUGGACACUCGGGCGGCUUCGAUCGUCCUUGGAUUCGAGCUUACAGAUUUGUCUCGUAUCGUCCUGCUGCAAGCGAUCGUUCCAGAGUCCUGUCGCAGCCAGGCGUCGUGUCAGUGUGGAAAUGCAUGAUUACAUAGAAUUACGGACGCACGGGUUCCGCGCGCUGGGACUUUGGAACGAUCCGUACACGCUCGAGCCUCGGUUAAGCGACGGACGGCGCGAAUUCGCGCGGCGUACGAGACGAAGAAGGAGGCGAGAGGUCGAGGAUGAAGAGCGAAGCCGUCACGGACCAGACACAGCGGAUCCUUUCAGAAGCGGGAAUGUUUAUCGACGUAAUAUUUGCUCGCGCGUCCGCCACGGCGAAAAGCGUACGCGCGCCGCUCAAAUUUGUUUAGUUUCUCGAGUGUUAAUUUUCUAUAAUUUUUACGGCAAAUCUCGCGCAAUCGCGAACCACCGGUCGCUUCGGCGACACUUUGCUCGUCCCAGUAUCGGGUGUACCAACGAGUAAUUCCCUAGUUUUCCCGAGUAGCUCGUUUAAAAGUGCUCGUUUAAGCGGAAAACAUUCUGCCGUUAGUUCCUUACCGACUAUUUAUAGAAAAAUUAACCACGAAUACGAACACAACUUUAUUGUCGCGAAUAACACCUUGCGUAAUAGCUUAAUAAAGUCGGUUUAAUUUUAUGUCGUUAGUUUCGUUCGCAGUCGACGAUGAAGGUUCGCGGUAACCGGUAGAAUACAUAGUCGAAACGAUUCGAACCAUUAACACUUUGACGAACACGCAUUUCCUGGAAUCUAUGACUCUUGCUCAUUGGCGUAACUAGGAAGGGACCAGUCCCUCUUCUCAUAAAUCUUUGCGAUAAGAUAGAAAAAUUAUAAUAUAGAAUAGAAAUCGAUACAAGACGUACAAUUAUGUUCGUGUUACGUGAAUUAACGAAUGAAAUAUAUGUACUACGAUACUGCGAAAACGUUUCACGCUUUUACCGCGCUUCGAACAAACGUACCUACCAAUUGUUUCCAUGGUUAUAGCCGAUAGAAGAUCUUGAAAGAAUCGAGCGAAAAACCUUAUCCGACACUCGCUUCGAAGACGAGUCGGUAAAUUUAUUUCGUCGAUAAGUUUCCCGAAUAAAUAUGAAAUACGAGAAGAAAAAGAGAGGAUUGUUCAUUGGUACAUCUAAUAGCUACGUCGUUGCACGAGCGUUUAACGAAACGCGUGUUUUCGCUCAAUUUAUCACCGGAUUCGGAUAAUACCGCCACUUUAUCGAUCUAUCAGUUUUAACCUCUUGCACGGUUACGGCGUACGCGUACAACCUGACAAAACUAGAAUAUUCGACUCGCGUGAUUUUUCCAAAGUACGUACCUGUCAUUCUCCUUAAGCAAAAUGGUUUUUACAUUAUGGUUAUGCUGUAUAAACUACCCGAUUACGACCUCUAAAUAUAUAAAUAUAAAUAUAAAUAUGAAUAUAAAUAUAAAUAUAAAUAUGAAUAUAAAUAUAAAUAUAGAAGCGGUGAAAAAUUUGUACCACCGCACUUUCAACGAUGAACCAUACCGCUUAAAGGGUUAAGGUUUUCCAUAAGAUUCUACGGAAUUCAACAUCACGUAUAUUGUAAAGCAUCUGUGUGUAAAACAGUUUUCUUUGAAAUAUACUGGUAACGUUA